ACUCCUCGGGAGGCAGCAGUGGGGAAUCUUAGACAAAUGGGGAAACCGUAGCAUCUAGCCAUGCCGCGUGAGCGAUGAAGGCCUUAGGGUUGUAAAGCUCUUUCAGCUGGGAAGAUAAUGACGGUACCAGCAGAAGAAGCCCGCGUAUAUCCGUGCCAGCAGCCGCGGUAAUACGGAGGGCGUAGCGUUGUUCGGAAUUACUGGGCGUAAAGCGCACGUAGGCGGAUUGGUAAGUUGGGGUGAAAUCCCGGGCUCAACCCGCACGAGCUC
rnacentral:rRNA from 1 species